rnacentral:rRNA from 1 species
UAGUUUGAUCCUGGCUCAGAUUGAACGCUGGCGGCAUGCUUUACACAUGCAAGUCGAGCGGCAGCGCGGGGGCAACCUUGGCGGCGAGCGGCGAACGGGUGAGUAAUGCAUCGGAACGUGCCCCGUAGUGGGGGACAACCCAGCGAAAGCUGGGCUAAUACCGCAUAUGCUCUGCGGAGGAAAGCGGGGGACCUCGCGAGGGGCCUCGUGCUAUGGGAGCGGCCGAUGUCCGAUUAGCUGGUUGGUGGGGUAAUGGCUCACCAAGGCGACGAUCGGUAGCUGGUCUGAGAGGAUGAUCAGCCACACUGGAACUGAGACACGGUCCAGACUCCUACGGGAGGCAGCAGUGGGGAAUCUUGCGCAAUGGGCGAAAGCCUGACGCAGCGACGCCGCGUGAGUGAUGAAGGCCUUCGGGUUGUAAAGCUCUGUGGAGCGGGACGAAUAAGUCGUGGCUAACAUCCACGAUGAUGACGGUACCGCUUUAGCAAGCACCGGCUAACUCUGUGCCAGCAGCCCCGGUCAA